UUAAGCGACUAAGCGUACACGGUGGAUGCCCUGGCAGUCAGAGGCGAUGAAGGGCGUGCUAAUCUGCGAUAAGCGCCGGUAAGGUGAUAUGAACCGUUAUAACCGGCGAUACCCGAAUGGGGAAACCCAGUGUGAUUCGUCACACUAUCAUUAACUGAAUCCAUAGGUUAAUGAGGCGAACCGGGGGAACUGAAACAUCUAAGUACCCCGAGGAAAAGAAAUCAACCGAGAUUCCCCCAGUAGCGGCGAGCGAACGGGGAGGAGCCCAGAGCCUGAAUCAGCAUGUGUGUUAGUGGAAGCGUCUGGAAAGGCGCGCGAUACAGGGUGACAGCCCCGUACACAAAAGCGCAUGUGCUGUGAGCUCGAUGAGUAGGGCGGGACACGUGGUAUCCUGUCUGAAUAUGGGGGG
rnacentral:rRNA from 1 species